rnacentral:rRNA from 1 species
UACGGAGGAUGCGAGCGUUAUCCGGAUUUAUUGGGUUUAAAGGGUGCGUAGGCGGGCUGUUAAGUCAGCGGUGAAAUACGGGGGCUCAACCUGCGUCCGCCGUUGAAACUGGCGUUCUUGAGUGGGCGAGAAGUAUGCGGAAUGCGUGGUGUAGCGGUGAAAUGCAUAGAUAUCACGCAGAACUCCGAUUGCGAAGGCAGCAUACCGGCGCGCAACUGACGCUCAUGCACGAAAGCGUGAGUAUCGAACAGG